rnacentral:misc_RNA from 1 species
UGAACUCUCUCCAAUUGCCCAUGCAAUUUACGUCCACCUUUCCCAUGCCAUGACAUGCAAGCCUCACGUAAACCAUGCCAUGCAAUUCCCUCAAGUGAUGUCUUCAUGUCCCAUGCAAGAUCACGUCCACUUAAAGGAACCCCUAUGCAAAGCAAUCCUCUCAAGGCUUCACGUGAAGUCCUUCCAUGCAUGUCCCAUGCAAAGUGACAAUUUUCAUGCGCACCAAUUCACGUCCCAAUUUCCUUAGCAAUUUCAUGCAUACCACUGAACCUCAAAUGGGCAGCCAACAACACCAAAAUCAUUUGGACUUCUCGGGGCAAAAUAAAAUGGGGUGACACUCUCCCCCA